AGUUCACUGAUAAAAAACGCAAAGGCACAAAGAAAUGUCUUCUGAGAAGAUUCAUCCACACAGAAGAAAGAAAUGACCAUGGAUGUCAACUGCUAGCGGUUUGCAACAUUCUUCAAAACAUCUUAUUUUGUGCUCAACUGAAGGGGAAAAACAACAGGUUUGAAAGAAGUAGAGGACUCUCAAGAAACAGAAAGAAUGGAAUAAGUCGUUGGAUCUAUACUCAGUGGACCCCUGCUGUAAGAAGUACCACUAAUGGUACUUUUAACCGCUCAUCCUGAGACAGUGUGACCUUCAUACCAUGCAGGCAGUCUUCUGAUGUGCAGCUUGAGGUCUGUUUCCUACUGGAUUCUGCCCAAGGACUUCAUAAUGAAAUAGAAAGAAACUGUCUGACAUAAAGAUUCCAACAGGUAUGCAGAAAAAUUAUGGAAAAUUGAAGAAAACCAUUGAACUAUUUAAAAAAAGGAAAAUAAGGUGUUCACAAUUACCAAAGAAGAGCCAGACAAACAGACGGACGGACGGACGGACGGACGGACGGACGGACGGACGGACGGACGGACGGACGGACGGACGGACGG